AUGACAUCAUAUUCCCUCGCCCCUCUAACGGGUAUAAUGACAUCAUAUUCCCUUGCCCCUCUAACGGGUAUAAUGACAUCAUAUUCCCUAAUGACAUCAUAUUCCCUUGCCCCUCUAACGGAUAUAAUGACAUCAUAUUCCCUAAUGACAUCAUAUUCCCUAAUGACAUCAUAUUCCCUAAUGACAUCAUAUUCCCUUGCCCCUGUAACGUGUAUAAUGACAUCAUAUUCCCUUGCCCCUCUAACGGGUAUAAUGACAUCAUAUUCCCUAAUGACAUCAUAUUCCCUUGCCCCUCUAACGGAUAUAAUGACAUCAUAUUCCCUAAUGACAUCAUAUUCCCUUGCCCCUGUAACGGGUAUAAUGACAUCAUAUUCCCUUGCCCCUGUAACGUGUAUAAUGACAUCAUAUUCCCUUGCCCCUGUAACGGGUAUAAUGACAUCAUAUUCCCUCGCCACUGUAACGGGUAUAAUGACAUCAUAUUCCCUCGCCCCUCUAACGGGUAUAAUGACAUCAUAUUCCCUCGCCACUGUAACGGGUAUAAUGACAUCAUAUUCCCUCGCCCCUCUAACGGGUAUAAUGACAUCAUAUUCCCUCGCCACUGUAACGGGUAUAAUGACAUCAUAUUCCCUCGCCCCUCUAACGGGUAUAAUGACAUCAUAUUCCCUCGCCACUGUAACGGGUAUAAUGACAUCAUAUUCCCUCGCCACUGUAACGGGUAUAAUGACAUCAUAUUCCCUCGCCCCUCUAACAGGUGUAAUGACAUCAUAUUCCCUCGCCACUGUAACGGGUAUAAUGACAUCAUAUUCCCUAAUGACAUCAUAUUCCCUCGCCACUGUAACGGGUAUAAUGACAUCAUAUUCCCUCGCCCCUCUAACAGGUAUAAUGACAUCAUAUUCCCUUUCCCCUCUAACAGGUAUAAUGACAUCAUAUUCCCUCGCCACUGUAACGGGUAUAAUGACAUCGUAUUCCCUCGCCCCUCUAACAGGUAUAAUGACAUCAUAUUAUGGUCACUGUAGAUCCUUUGUUGCGUCAGUCAGACCUCAUAACUAUAUCUUUCCACCAAUCCUGAAAUGUUGCAGCAUAUUCCCUCGCCCCUGUAACGGGUAUAAUGACAUCAUAUUCCCUAAUGACAUCAUAUUCCCUCGCCCCUGUAACGGGUAUAAUGACAUCAUAUUCCCUAAUGACAUCAUAUUCCCUCGCCCCUGUAACGGGUAUAAUGACAUCAUAUUCCCUAAUGACAUCAUAUUCCCUCGCCCCGCUAACAGGUGUUGACUGUAGAUGUUGCAGCAUAGUCCCGUACGAUUGUGUUCUUGCUUACUCCAUUGUUGUCAUUGUCAACUCAACUCGGCAUAACCAUUAGUGACAAGGAGUUGGCAUGACGGCACAUACAGCCUGGUGCUCACGCUAGCAAUAUUGACAUUACUUCUGAUAAUAAGCCAGACUUUAAUAUGGAGGACAAGCCAAAUAUCCCAUGCCGUGUAAAUUGGGUUAUGAAUUCUACCAGCCUUUCAUUACAUUGACGAUGAAGGACAGAGGCGGGCUUAGCUGUGUUUCGUCCGUGUCCAAUGAAACAGGCCCCCAAACAGCUGAAUCCACCCAGGGUUUAUUAGCAGCCCAGACAGUAGGAUAGUCCAUCAACCUCAGAGAAACAUGCAACGCCACCUCGUAGUGUGUGUGUGUGUGUGUGUGUGUGUACAGCAUUAAAAAAAAGUGUAUUUGAUGUGGGAUCUGAGAUAAAAAACUGAAUGUAUUGUCAUGGCUGACCUCAGAUCAGAAUAGACUGGAAUAGCUGCAAUUCAGAUGACACCCUUUUUUUCCCCUUAUAUAGAGCCCUAUGGACCUUGGUCAAAAGUAGUGCACUACAUGUGGAAUAGGAUCCCAUUGGGGAUACAAGCCCAUCACUGUGGGAAGCUGUAAAAAAAAAAAAAAAAAUUAAAUACUAUUCUCAGUGGAUUGUUUAGUUCUGGAACUGCCCAAACCUGAUGGAUGACGUUACUCAAAAGCCCUGGUCUGAGAACAGUUUUUAGAUGUUUAUUUUUUAUUUAUGUAUUUCCCUAUUGGUAACAGUUUGGGUCAGGAUGGAGAAAGCUGCUCACAGAUCAGGGUCCGUAUUCAUAAAACCCUGGAUCAGUUUAGCCUUUUUAUAUUAUAAGGAAAGGACGGGGACGGGGCCUCGGGGGCGGGGCCUGUGUGUGGGGGGUUGGGCGGGGGGGCGGGGCCUGUGUGUGGGGGGUUGGGCGGGGGGGCGGGGCCUGGGUCCGAGAUCGACACUCCUUCUCUCCGAGAUCGAGAUCGACACUCCUUCUCUCAGAUGAUUUCUGAUUACUGUACUUUGGGCUAACGGUCCCUUUUGAGUAACACUUUGUCUGUAUGAGGCAUACGGGGGUUCCUAGUAUUCAGUGACUCUUAUGUAUGUUAUGGGGCCUGUCUCAGAGAUUUAAACGCUGUGUUUCCUCUGUUUUGCUGUACGAUUGAUUGAUCACGAUUUAUCGAGAUGUGUCACUGUCGAUCACAGUUUUUGAUAAAAGCUGGAUGUCAUUGCUGAGAAUUGACUUACAUUUUUAAGAAUAGCCAAUUCUAAAGAAAUCACUCUUAUCACCACCCCUCUGCCAAUUUCCAAAGAUUGUUAAGAUUUUGAAAUGAAUAUAAGCCAUGAGGUAAUGUUUUUUUUAAACAUUUAUAUCAGGACUUGGAGCGAACAACCUUCUGCCCCUCAAAAAAAUAUCAUACAGGCAGUGAAUAUAAAUCAAUUUACAACAAAAUAAUUCCUCUUCUAUACCUUUCAUUUGGGAGAUUUUUUUUAAAUGCCCCUGUUUUUGUAUUGUCUGCCAGUUUUCUUAGAGCUAAAAUGCAAGAACCUUGAAAUGCUAACAACAAAAAAAAAAAAACUAGCAUAUUGCCUUAGAUUGUCUGUUCUCCUUGUAUAUUUUAACGCUAUCCGCGUCAUGUUUGUAUUGUGAAUAUGUACAUUAUUGAAUGGGGUGCAUCGUUGAUCAACACAUCUUAGUUGCUGAGACGAGCGGUCUCUCUCUCUCUCAGCUGUGAUUGGUUGAAGGCUGUAUUAUUUGAAUAAUUAAAUACCCCCCCCCCCCCCCUAACUGUUAUGUCAGACUGCUAUAUGGAAGAAGGAAAAAUAUGAUGCAAUGGGAUAUUUAAGCAAUAUGUAAUAUAUUCUAUCAACUUUCUGGAGAAAGUAAGCUUACAGUGUUACGCGUUGCUCUGAGAUGUAUGUUUUUCUCCCCCAGGUGUGUUUGUUCUCCAGAAAACAUCGCACUGUUCGUUCGUUCGUUCCACCCGUCACUCACGCGUCAACGUUUGUAAUCUUUAGUGUUGAGCAUUUUAUGCAAAAGUUAGAUAUGCCCGGCAGAAGUUUAAACACAGUUAUAUGCAAGUGGUCAACUAAUAAGGCUUCGCUGAUGCUAUUUGCAAUUUGAUGUUGAAUACUACAAUUGUAAAUAAAGAAUUGUUAUUGCAACCUUUAAUCUAGUUCCGCUAUAUUAUUGAAUCAUAUUUUGUCGAUACUGCACUGUUUGAGGGGAGAGCCUAGCCUGCAAGGAAGCGUCUCGUUGUCCUCACUGUGUAGCCUUACAGUAUGACAUGCUCUGUGUGUAUAACAAAUACACGUUGAAUUAAAUAUUGUUUUGUGUUUAGAUGCAAAAAGAAGUAUGAUCCUGAAAGUGGAGAUAUUAUUUAAAUUGAUGGAUGGGUAAUUGAAAGCCAAUUGCGUUGAGUGUUUGUCACGUACUUUGCAAGUUGUUGAAUGCAUGCUUUUAGUUAGAUUGGACGAUGCGUUACAGCUGUGAUGCGGCUCAGUACUGUGAGUAGCUGGGACACGGGGAAGGGAAGGAAGUGUGAAUGGGAUAGUGAUGGUAAUGUUAUUUAACCGUUUAACAAAUCAACACCUCUCUGUUUCCAUAUUGCUCUGUUUGAAUUGUUCGUUUUAUCACGUCUUGCGUGAUGCUGUUUUGUAAAUUAAUGAGGAUUAAAUUAUUAAUGGUUCUAACAUAAAC
rnacentral:lncRNA from 1 species